CCGCGGGAGAGACCGGUGACGUGCGGGGCAGCUUUGCCAUCGCGCGCGCCGGCGCCGAAGGCGCAACACCGCCCGGAAUCGCUCAGGCAAAAGGACCGCGGC
rnacentral:ncRNA from 1 species